rnacentral:miRNA from 1 species
AGGAUUGUGGUCGGACAUUAAC